GGGGGUGUAGUUCAGUGGUAAAGUGUUCGCUUUGCAAGUGAAAGGUCCCGGAUUUGAUCCCCGGCACCUCCA